GGAUACCCGAGGGAAACUUCGGUUAAUACGGUAUAAGACCACACUACCGCAUGGUAGAGGGGUAAAAGGGGCAACCUGGUAUGAGAUGGACUCGCGUCGCAUUAGCUAGUUGGUGAGGUAACGGCCCACCAAGGCGACGAUGCGUAGCCGACCUGAGAGGGUGAUCGGCCACAUUGGGACUGAGAUACGGCCCAGACUCCUACGGGAGGCAGCAGUGGGGAAUAUUGGGCAAUGGAGGAAACUCUGACCCAGCAAUGCCGCGUGAAUGAAGAAGGUCUUCGGAUUGUAAAGUUCUUUAGUCAGGGAAGAAGUCAAUGACGGUACCUGAAGAAUAAGCUCCGGCUAACUACGUGCCAGCAGCCGCGGUAAUACGUAGGGAGCAAGCGUUGUUCGGAAUGACUGGGCGUAAAGGGUGCGUAGGCGGUUGUACAAGUUAGAAGUGAAAACCCAGGGCUUAACUCGGGUGCUGCUUCUAAAACUGUAUGACUUGAGUGCAGUAGAGGUUAGUGGAAUUCCUAGUGUAGCGGUGGAAUGCGUAGAUAUUAGGAGGAACACCAGAGGCGAAGGCGGCUAACUGGACUGCAACUGACGCUGAGGCACGAAAGUGUGGGGAGCAAACAGGAUUAGAUACCCUGGUAGUCCACACUGUAAACGAUGGAUACUAGAUGUAGGAGGUAUCGACUCCUUCUGCGUCGCAG
rnacentral:rRNA from 1 species